GGGAAGGUGGCUCAGUGGUAGAGUGCUUGCCUUGCAUGCAUGAGGCCCUAGGUUCGAUUCCUCAGCAUCACA
rfam:Dipodomys ordii contig_11818, whole genome shotgun sequence.